rnacentral:lncRNA from 1 species
AUGUCCCGGGGCUCCCACACGUCCUCGGGCUCCAGCUCCUCGGAGGCCGCGUCCAGCAGCUCCUGCAGCGCCACGACGCCGGGCGGGUACGGCCCCGCUCCGAGCACCCACACGGCCACGCCGUCCUCCCGCAGGCUGGGCAGGAGCGGCUCCACCGACCCGAACAGGUCUGGGGGGGCGGCACCGUGUGGGGACCACCGCGCCGGGCCCGGUGCCACACGUGCCACCCGCCCCUUGUCCCCCUCGUCCCCGGUCCUGCCCCGUUAUUCCUCUGGUCCCGCUCGGGCUCCCCGUCCUCUCAUCCCCCCGGUCCCGUUACACCCCGGGAUCGCCCCACUCGCGGCCCCAUCACCCCCGGUCCCGUUACACCCCGGGAUCGCCCCACUCGCGGCCCCAUCACCCCCGGUCCCCGCCGUUCCCCGGUGCCUUCCCCCCGCAUUCCUCGGUCCCCUCCCGCUCCCCUCGGUGUCCCCCCGUUAUCCCCCGGGCCCCGAACGCGCCCCGCUUCCUCUCGGCCCUUUCCCCCCACGCUCCCCGCUCCUCCCCGGUGUCCCCGCGGUGUCCCCCGGUGUCCCCCGGUGUCCCCCCGCUGUCCCCGGGUCUCACCGUCCGCCACCAGCAGCGCCCGGGCCCCGCAGCCGCGCAGGCAGUGCCGGAGCCCCGCGGGGCGCAGCGCCGUGCCCAGGAAGGCCGGGCGGGCCCCGAGCGCCGCCAGCCCGAACCAGCCCCAGACGAAACGGGGCUCGUUGCCCGCCAGCAGCCCCACGGUGUCCCCGGGCCGCGGCGGGGCCCGCAGCGCCCGCAGCGCGUUCGCCACCCGCGCCACGCUCCGCGCCGCCCGCCCCAGCGGCACCGCGCCCGCCCGGGCCCGCAGGAACGGCCGCGCCGGGGCCGCCCGGGCCGCGCGGAGGAACCGGGAGGCCACGCUGCCCCGGGACCGGCCCGCGCCCGCCGCCGCGCCCGCAGCGCCCGCAGCGCGAACGCCAGGUCGGCCCAGAGGUGCGGCCGCAGCCGCCGCUGCAGCGCCAGCAGCGCCCCCAGAGCCCCCAGAGCCCCCAGGGCCAGCGGCGCCCCCGGGACCCCCCCCAGGACCCCCCCCAGGACCCCCAGCGCCCCCAGCCCCAGCGCGCCCAGCGCCGCCGCCCGCGCCAUCGCCGCGCCCGCCCCGGGGCGGGGGACACGCCCACCAUGGCCACGCCCACCUUGGCCACGCCCACCUUGGCCACGCCCCGACCGCGCCCACCUUGGCCACGCCCCCCCGGGUGUCACCUCUGUCCCCACCCCGGCACGGUC